CCAUUUUCUUAGCCGCCUCCACCAUUCGCUUCAGACCUGAUCUCAGGGUUAGGCUCUCUCCUCACAUCUUUGAGAUCCGCUCAGCUGCUCGACCACUCCGACGAUCAAUCUUCGAGAUCUGCCGCCUUUGGUCAGCUGCUCCGCCAGUUGUCUCCGACUCUCCUCUCCAAGAUCCGCCACUCUGCUUGGCCAUUGACAGUCUCUUCGGCCGUCAACAAUCUUCUUCUCCGUCGAUGCUCUCUUCCUCUCGAGUCUCGAAGCUCUCAUCCCCCCUCUGGCAUGUCCUCGACUACCCUAAUCUACCAUCCUUUCAUCAAAAUGCAAGGAAAUGCUUGAGUAAAUUUGAGGCAGUAUAGAUCCUUCUUCUUAACUGCUGCUCAAAUGGCUAUAAAAGGUGUGAACUUUGCAAGAAAUUUAUCGCAAGGAAAGAAUUGCCAGCAUAAGUUAAAAUGAAAGCUUGAUCAAGUUGAAAUUAAUUUUGGAAGAAACUACCUUUAAGUGAUCAACGCUGAGUCCUUCAAUAGGGCUUAGAUUACGCAGGAGCAUGAUUGGAGUUCCUACUUUUAGUUUUAUCUCAUGAUUUGUCAUGGAAGGAAAUGUCAAAGAAUUAAGAAACGCUGUCGGAUAUAGUGAUUGAUUUAAUUGCAGAUUUGGAGAUGUUUGGCAAAUAGAUACUGAACUGAGAUAAAUGAAAAUUUGGAGCAGUGGUCAUAUCUACAUGAGUUGUUACCGUGCUCUAAAGAUGAUUGCGUGAAGGACAAAAAUAAGUAUGGGCACCAUGAAAGUGUUGCGCCUUUGUCAUUUCAGAAUCAAGUUUUUGAAGGGCCCGACACGUACAUAGAAACAGGGACUGGUCUCAAAGAAUCUAUUUUGUGAUGGUUUGACCAUUUAGACGGAAACAAUAAGGCCCACCUCCAUUAUUGUAUGCAUUGUCAAUUGUCCCGCCUGAGGAAGUAAAUGCAAAGAUUGAGUUAUAACUUCUGAUAUUUUCUUUAAAUUUCUUGCUUCUGCUAUCUUAACCGGUUAACAAAUUCCAGAGAAAAGCGGGAGGAUGCUUGAGGAGAGAAAAUUUGACAGAGCCUUUUCGACAGCAUAAUGAGAAAGUUGGAUUCUCAGGUCUCCUUGAUUUAUCAGCUCUUUCUUCAUACCAAAGCAUAGCAUCACAAUGUUCGCAAAUAAAAGUUGGUGAUCCAACAUUAUGUAUAUCACUGUACAGACCUAGAAGUACACAACAAAUGACAAUGUUAUACAACAAAUGACAAUGCAUCAAUGUCAACAGCAUAUGAUGCAAGAAAAUGGGGACAAUUAUUUGACAUGAAAAUAAAGUUGUACACUAUCCUCCAUUUGCAAGUGAGAAUCGUCGAAUGAUGAAUCAAUUAAUAUCUGUUCGAUCCUUGUACGCUUGAUAAUAACCGGGGAUGUAUCCUGAAAGAAAGUAGUGCUACAGGUACCGUUAUCUCUAUGAACAACUUUCCUCUUUCCUGGUCUCUCUUUGUUAUUAUAGGAUCGAAGAGCUGAAAACAGAUGACGGCUUGUUAGUAUUAAUGAAUAAAAGUUUGUCAAAGUUGUAGUGCGUCAACAAAGAGGGAGUACUUUCUCACUUUGAUUGGUCAGGUCAAUGAUCUGUGAUUCCGACGAAUUCAACUCUGUAGGUAAUAAUUUUAAUAAUUUAAGGUUAUUGCUGUAGAUUUCUAUUAACUAUCAAAUUAGGCAUUAGUUUAUAUAAAGAUUGUUACCUGUUAUUCUGUCAAUGAGCUUUGGAGAUGCAGGUGAUGUGAAAGAACUAACAUCCAUUAAGCUGCUACUUAUAUUCUCCAUAAUAUGCUCCGAAAGAUAUUUUCUCAGAAAGUGCGAAUUGAUAUAUUCUCCGAGAGAGAUUUUCUAGUAAAUGGUAGCAUACAUUCCAUAUAUGCUCAGAAAGUUCCAUAUAUGCGCAGAAAGAUGUGUGGUAAGUUACCUUAUUCACUUGCAUAUAUACUUGUAUAUAUGCUCCGAAAGAUAUGCAGCAUACAUUCCACGUAUGCUCAAAAAGUUGUGUUAAAUGGGUGGAUAGAUGCCACAAAUACUGAUACUAAGAUAUAGAAAACUGAAUAUUUCCAGUUUAUAACAAAUUUUGAAUCAUGAUACAAUAUAAAAUGUGUACAGGUUAUAUCAGAGUCAAAUUAAUAUUCAAUAAGUUAACAUUUUCAGAAGUAUAUAUAUUCAUGAAUUAAAGAACAAAGAAGACCUCUAAUACUGAAAGGAGCAUAGCAUACUUACAAAAUGAUUUAAGAGUUGAUUCCAUAAGCUUUUUUCACUUCUAUAUAAUUGAAACCAAAAAAUCAUAAUUUAGCUCCGGUACUUGAAAUAAAAUUUAAGCAGGUAACCAAGAGGAAAGUAUACAUUGCUUGAGAAGCUAAUUAAACUAAUGUAAGAAGUUGGUCAUCAUAAAUGCUUUAAAAAUUGAGUUUGAUAUGAAAAAUGUGAUGUAUAUAGGCAGAAAUCAGGCAUAAAUCAUAAAUGUGUUAAAUACUGACUUAAUCAUAAAAUAAUCAAGAAAUAGUGACCUUAUUGCUAAUUGAAGAACAUGUUGGAGAAAAUUGAGAAAGGGUAAAAAAAAUCACCCAAGCAAGAGGUUAUUGUGAGAUUGUUGGAAUAAGAAAAGAUUUUAGAUUGUAUAUAUAUAUAUUUCCUUAUUGCUCUUUUAUGGCAUGACAACUUAUUAUAAAUUAUAAUUUAAGUUUUGCCUCUUUUUUUCAGAUUGCCGCUUUUUUCACAGCUUGUUUGAAAAGACUUUGCAUUCAAAAAUUUGGUGGUUUUUUCAAAAUUUUGGUAAGCUGGAGAAUUUUCACACAUUUUCGCUGAAGUUCAAUGCACACGCAACGUAUAUGUGGGGCCCUCAUAACGCUGUAGCAAUUCCAGAUAUUGAAGAGAUAUUUAGCUAUACUAUACUUUGAUUAAUUUUUUUCACAGAUUGCCACUCUCUUUUGUUUUGUUUUUUUUUUUUUUUGGUUUACCCAUGUAUAUGUGAGGUUUAAGCAGGAUAAUUUUGUAAGCAGAAUAUGCGGGGCCCACUCAAGUUUGAUUAAUUUUGUAAGCUGGAAAAUUUCGGUAAUGUUGGGUGAACAUGGGCUUGGUUUAAUUAAUUUUGUAAGCUGGAGAAUUUUCA